UACGUAGGGUGCGAGCGUUGUCCGGAAUUACUGGGCGUAAAGAGCUCGUAGGCGGUCUGUUACGUCCGCUGUGAAAACCCAGGGCUUAACCCUGGGCUUGCAGUGGAUACGGGCAGACUAGAGGCAGGUAGGGGAGAAUGGAAUUCCCGGUGUAGCGGUGAAAUGCGCAGAUAUCGGGAGGAACACCGGUGGCGAAGGCGGUUCUCUGGGCCUGACCUGACGCUGAGGAGCGAAAGCGUGGGGAGCGAACAGG
rnacentral:rRNA from 1 species